rnacentral:rRNA from 1 species
GAUGAACGCUGGCGGCGUGCCUAAUACAUGCAAGUCGAGCGAACGGACGAGAAGCUUGCUUCUCUGAUGUUAGCGGCGGACGGGUGAGUAACACGUGGAUAACCUACCUAUAAGACUGGGAUAACUUCGGGAAACCGGAGCUAAUACCGGAUAAUAUUUUGAACCGCAUGGUUCAAAAGUGAAAGACGGUCUUGCUGUCACUUAUAGAUGGAUCCGCGCUGCAUUAGCUAGUUGGUAAGGUAACGGCUUACCAAGGCAACGAUGCAUAGCCGACCUGAGAGGGUGAUCGGCCACACUGGAACUGAGAAACGGUCAAGACUCCUAAGGGAGGCAGCAGUAGGGAAUCUUCCGCAAUGGGCGAAAGCCUGCCGGAGCAACGCCGCGUGAGUGAUGAAGGUCUUCGGAUCGUAAAACUCUGUUAUUAGGGAAGAACAUAUGUGUAAGUAACUGUGCACAUCUUGACGGUACCUAAUCAGAAAGCCACGGCUAACUACGUG